UACGGGGGGGGGCAAGCGUUGUUCGGAAUUACUGGGCGUAAAGGGCUCGUAGGCGGCCAACUAAGUCAUACGUGAAAUCCCUCGGCUUAACCGGGGAACUGCGUCUGAUACUGGAUGGCUUGAGAUUGGGAGAGGGAUGCGGAAUUCCAGGUGUAGCGGUGAAAUGCGUAGAUAUCUGGAGGAACACCGGUGGCGAAGGCGGCAUCCUGGACCAACACUGACGCUGAGGAGCGAAAAGCCAGGGGGAGCAAACGGG
rnacentral:rRNA from 1 species